rnacentral:lncRNA from 1 species
AGUUACCAGAGUUGAUCCUAAGCUUAUCAUUCUGGAGUGGCAGGCUUUAUGCUUACGAUUGUUAGGGUUUGAGCCCGACAUCCAGUUUUUCGAUCAUUCACGACUUAGGAUAGAGUGUUUGGAUGAUCGUUAUCGAUAUUUUCACAUUGGGGAUGAUGCACUAGAGGAGAUGGUGCAGCAGUAUGUUAGGGGUCAGGUGCUGCGAUUGCUUGAUGGUGUUCUAUUACCUGAUACUU